CUUGCCCGCUGGCGGCAGGCCUAACACAUGCAAGUCGAGCGAGCGGCGGACGGGUGAGUAAUGUAUGGGGACUGCCCGAUAGAGGGGGAUAACUACUGGAAACGGUAGCUAAUACCGCAUACUAUCGGAUAACCCAUAUGGGAUUAGCUAGUAGGUGAGGUAAUGGCUCACCUAGGCGACGAUCCCUAGCUGGUCGGAGAGGAUGAUCAGCCACACUGGUACUGAGACCCGGCCCAGACUCCUACGGAGGCAGCAGUGGGGAAUAUUGCACAAUGGGCGCAAGCCUGAUGCAGCCAUGCCGCGUGUAUGAAGAAGGCCCUAGGGUAGUAAAGUACUUUCAGUCGGGAGGCGUUACCGACAGAAUAAGCCCCGGCUAACUACGUGCCAGCAGCCGCGGUAAUAC
rnacentral:rRNA from 1 species